AACGAACGCUGGCGGCAUGCCUAACACAUGCAAGACGAACGAGACCUUCGGGUCUAGUGGCGCACGUGUGCGUAACGCGUGGGAACCUGCCCUUAGGUUCGGAAUAACUCCCCGAAAGGGGUGCUAAUACCGGAUAAUGUCUUCGGACCAAAGAUUUAUCGCCUUUGGAUGGGCCCGCGUUGGAUUAGCUAGUUGGUAGGGUAAAAGCCUACCAAGGCGACGAUCCAUAGCUGGUCUGAGAGGAUGAUCAGCCACACUGGGACUGAGACACGGCCCAGACUCCUACGGGAGGCAGCAGUGGGGAAUAUUGGACAAGGGGCGAAAGCCUGAUCCAGCAAUGCCGCGUGAGUGAUGAAGGCCUUAGGGUUGUAAAGCUCUUUUACCCGGGAUGAUAAUGACAGUACCGGGAGAAUAAGCUCCGGCUAACUCCGUG
rnacentral:rRNA from 1 species